rnacentral:tRNA from 1 species
CGGCCGGUGGAUCGGGCCGCCCGGCGCCGGCCGGUGGGUCGGGUCGGCGGGUCAGGCCGGCGGCAGGGCCGCGCGGAUCGCCGCCGCCCGGUCGGCC